rnacentral:rRNA from 1 species
GACAGAGGGGGCAAGCGUUGCUCGGAAUCACUGGGCGUAAAGGGCGCGUAGGCGGGAUGGCAAGUCAGUCGUGAAAUCUCUCGGCUCAACCGAGAAACGUCGGCCGAUACUGCCGUUCUUGAGGGAUGCAGAGGAGACUGGAAUUCCCGGUGUAGCGGUGAAAUGUGUAGAGAUCGGGAGGAACACCGGUGGCGAAGGCGGGGUCUCUGGGCAUUUCCUGACGCUCAUGCACGAAAGCGUGGGGAGCAAACAGG